rnacentral:rRNA from 1 species
AUAUUGCACAAUGGGCGCAAGCCUGAUGCAGCCAUGCCGCGUGUAUGAAGAAGGCCUUCGGGUUGUAAAGUACUUUCAGCGGGGAGGAAGGCGAUGUGGGUAAUAACCGCAUCGAUUGACGGUACCCGCAGAAGAAGCACCGGCUAACUCCGUGCAAGCAGCCGCGGUAAUACGGAGGGUGCAAGCGUUAAUCGGAAUUACUGGGCGUAAAGCGCACGCAGGCGGUCUGUCAAGUCAGAUGUGAAAUCCCCGGGCUUAACCUGGGAACUGCAUUUGAAACUGGCAGGCUUGAGUCUCGUAGAGGUGGGUAGAAUUCCAGGUGUAGCGGUGAAAUGCGUAGAGAUCUGGAGGAAUACCGAUGGCGAAGGCGGCCCCCUGGACGAAGACUGACGCUCAGGUGCGAAAGCGUGGGGAGCAAAC